rnacentral:tmRNA from 1 species
GGGCCAGUCAAGGUUUCGACAGGGGUCUUGCAGCUGGAGAAGCUAUCCGCAGGCGAUGCGUCAAAUCGCGAACCUAAAUAUAAACGCUGAAGAUAAUUUAGCAUACGCUGCCUAAUGGCAGCUGUCCGCCUUAGUGCACCUGCACAUUAAGAACCGGGCAUCGACGAUGCAGGAAACGACACAGGCAAAGCUUUGAGCCUGUGGGCGUAACAUGAAGCUACUGAGCGUAUCGGGGCGUCUGCUUCCUGAUACGGGAGGGAAUGAGGAGCAAUCCGAAACGGCAGACUAUGAUAGUAGAAGGACAGGGAAUGGGCUUUUGGACACGGGUUCGACUCCCGUCUGGUCCACUG